rnacentral:tRNA from 1 species
GCCGAAAUGGUGGAAUUGGCAGACGCGUCGGACUCAAAAUCCGAAGAUGGCGACAUCGUGUGGGUUCAAGUCCCACUUUCGGCACCA